rnacentral:rRNA from 1 species
AUUGAACGCUGGCGGCAGGCUUAACACAUGCAAGUCGAACGAGCGGCGGACGGGUGAGUAAUGUCUGGGAAACUGCCUGAUGGAGGGGGAUAACUAAUGGAAACGGUAGCUAAUACCGCAUACCAUCAGAUGUGCCCAGAUGGGAUUAGCUAGUAGGUGGGGUAAUGGCUUACCUAGGCGACGAGCCCUAGCUGGUCUGAGAGGAUGACCAGCCACACUGGAACUGAGAAACGGUCAAUACUCCUACGGGUGGCAGCAGUGGGGAAUAUUGCACAAUGGGCGCAAGCCUGAUGCAGCCAUGCCGGGUGUGUGUAGAAGUCCUUCGGGUUGUAAAGCACUUUCAGCUAGGAGGCGUUACUCGCAGAAGAAGCACCGGCUAACUCCGUGCAAGCAGCCGCGGUAAUUC